rnacentral:piRNA from 1 species
UACCAAAAUUAUUGCAUACGACAUAUUUCC